rnacentral:rRNA from 1 species
GACGAACGUUGGCGGCGUGCCUAAUACAUGCAAGUCAACUGAAAUACCGGUAGCAAUACUGGUAUGGAGGUGGCGCACGGGUGAGUAACACGUAGGUAAUCUGCCUUCAGGUCUGACAUAACCCAUCGAAAGGUGAGCUAAUAUCAGAUGAUGCAGCGGCUUGACAUCAAGACAGUUGUUAAAGCUUCGGCGCCUGAGGAUGAGCCUGCGUCUGAUUAGCUAGUUGGCGGGGUAACGGCCCACCAAGGCUGCGAUCAGUAGCUGGUCUGAGAGGAUGAUCAGUCACACUGGAACUGAGACACGGUCCAGACUCCGUACGGGA